rnacentral:misc_RNA from 1 species
AAGGAGUCUAACAUAAGUGCGAGUAAAUGAGUGGCAAACUCACUUGCGCAAUGAAAGUGAACAAAGGGAAAUUUGCACCUUUGACCGAUCAGCCUAUUUAUAGACAGAUUUGAGUAAGAGCAUUUAUGUUGGGACCCGAAAGAUGGUGAACUAUACCUGGGUAGGAUGAAGCCAGAGGAAACUCUGGUGGAGGUCCGUAGCGGUUCUGACGUGCAAAUCGAUCGUAAAACUUGGGUAUAGGGGCGAAAGACUAAUCGAACCAUCUAGUAGCUGGUUCCCUC